AGUGAACGCUGGCGGUAGGCCUAACACAUGCAAGUCGAACGGCAGCACAGUAAGAGCUUGCUCUUACGGGUGGCGAGUGGCGGACGGGUGAGGAAUACAUCGGAAUCUACUUUUUCGUGGGGGAUAACGUAGGGAAACUUACGCUAAUACCGCAUACGACCUACGGGUGAAAGCAGGGGAUCUUCGGACCUUGCGCGAUUGAAUGAGCCGAUGUCGGAUUAGCUAGUUGGCGGGGUAAAGGCCCACCAAGGCGACGAUCCGUAGCUGGUCUGAGAGGAUGAACAGCCACACUGGAACUGAGACACGGUCCAGACUCCUACGGGAGGCAGCAGUGGGGAAUAUUGGACAAUGGGCGCAAGCAUGAUCCAGACAUACCGCGUGGGUGAAGAAGGCAUUCGGGUUGUAAAGCCCUUUUGUUGGGAAAGAAAAGCAGCAGGUUAAUACCCAGCUGUUCUGACGGUACCCAAAGAAUAAGCACCGGCUAACUUCGUG
rnacentral:rRNA from 1 species